rnacentral:rRNA from 1 species
GACGUAGGGCGCGAGCGUUGUCCGGAUUUAUUGGGCGUAAAGAGCUCGUAGGCGGCUUGUCGCGUCGUCUGUGAAAUCCCGCGGCUCAACCGCGGGUCUGCAGUCGAUACGGGCAGGCUAGAGUGUGGUAGGGGAGACUGGAAUUCCUGGUGUAGCGGUGAAAUGCGCAGAUAUCAGGAGGAACACCGAUGGCGAAGGCAGGUCUCUGGGCCACUACUGACGCUGAGAAGCGAAAGCAUGGGGAGCGAACAGG